rnacentral:tRNA from 1 species
GCCCCAGUAGCUUAACGCAAGAGCAUUGGUAAUUCCAAAGGUUGUCGGUUCAACUCCGUCCCAGGGCA